GUGGGGAAUAUUGGGCAAUGGGCGCAAGCCUGACCCAGCAACGCCGCGUGAGGGAAGAAGGUUUUCGGAUUGUAAACCUCUGUCGCAGAUGACGAAGGAAGUGACGGUAAUCUGUGAGGAAGCCCCGGCUAACUACGUGCCAGCAGCCGCGGUAAUACGUAGGGGGCGAGCGUGGUCCGGAAUUACUGGGCGUAAAGGGAGCGUAGGCGGUCGAUUAAGUUGGAUGUGAAAUACCCGGGCGUAAGUUGGAGUGUGCAUCCAAUACUGGUUGACUAGAGUACAGGAGAGGAAAGCGGAAUUCCUAGUGUAGCGGUGAAAUGCAUAGAUAUUAGGAGGAACAUCGGUGGCGAAGGCGGCUUUCUGGACUGACACUGACGCUGAGGCUCGAAAGCGUGGGGAGCAAACAGGAUUAGAUACCCUAGUAGUCC
rnacentral:rRNA from 1 species